GGGGGUGCACUGGCUUCGACGGGGGUCGCGAAAUCGUCUGGCGCAUGCCGAGGGGGUAGCUUUCCUCGUUAAUCCAGCUGCAAAAACCCAGACGCCAACGACGACGUCUACGCUCUCGCCGCUUAAGGCGUAAGCCCCGAACCCACUUGUGCCCGUGCUCGUGGAUGUAGGGUCAUUAUCACGGAACCGGCCCUGGCGGCGACCCGCCAACCAGCGGCUUAACCAAAGCGGGUGUGGAUGACGGUGUGCCUCGCACGUUGUGUUGCCGUCAUCCGAGAUCGAACAACGAGCUAAGCAUGUAGUGCCGGGCAUGGAGUGCCUUCGGACGCGGGUUCGAUUCCCGCCACCUCCACCA
rnacentral:tmRNA from 1 species